rfam:Myotis davidii contig112898, whole genome shotgun sequence.
GGCGGUUCUCAGGUGAUGCAUCUGGGAAUCGGAAUUGGGAUCCCUCCUCUCUGUUUCCAGGUGUGUCACCCAAGAACCACA